CCUACGGGAGGCAGCAGUGGGGAAUAUUGGGCAAUGGAGGAAACUCUGACCCAGCAACGCCGCGUGAAUGAUGAAGGUCUUCGGAUUGUACAGUUCUUUUCUAAGGGAAGAAGAACGUGACGGUACCUUAGGACUAAGCCUCGGCUAACUACGUGCCAGCAGCCGCUGUAAUACGUAGGAGGCGAGCGUUAUCCGGAAUGACUGGGCGUAAGGGGUGCGUAGGUGGUUUGGCAAGUUAGUAGCGUAACUCCAAGGCUCACCCUUGGAACUACUACUAAAACUGUUGGACUUGAGUGCAGGAGGGGCAACCGGAAUUCCUAGGGUAGCGGUGGAAUGCGUAGAUAUUAGGAGGAACACCAGUGGCGAAGGCGGGUUGCUAGACUGUAACUGACACUGAGGCACGAAAGCGUGGGGAGCAAACAGGAUUAGAUACCCUAGUAGUC
rnacentral:rRNA from 1 species